CACACAUCGACAUACACACAAAGACCUGGACUCCGAGAAACUAUAUCACAUCCUCAGCAUUCAUGUUGGAGCUGCGAUUCUGGCGAAUGUAUUAAAACCGAUGAAAGGUUGAUGAGUAAACAAAGGGCUUGGACACACUCACAGUGAGUGGUUCUCAUUCUGCGGCUGUGUGUUGAGGCACGCCGCCACCUAUUGACGUGGCCUGUAAAAACAGAUGUACUGAAUGCUUGGACGGUGGUAAGAAGAUGAAAUUGAAGAUUCCCACUGUAAAUUCCACAAAGAUGCCACACCCAAGAAAUGGAUACGUACCUGAUGCAACAGUUAUGGACCCAUUAUUUGUUGCAAACCUAUACAAAAAUGUGUGUUUGGCAAAGAUGUUUAAUGUGUAAACACAUACCUUUACACUGUUACUGCUUCCCCAUCCU